rnacentral:rRNA from 1 species
UACGGGGGGAGCAAGCGUUGUUCGGAUUUACUGGGCGUAAAGGGCGCGUAGGCGGCGGGGUAAGUCUGGUGUGAAAUCUCGGAGCUCAACUCCGAAAUUGCACUGGAUACUGCUCUGCUAGAGGGCUGGAGAGGAGAUCGGAAUUCACGGUGUAGCAGUGAAAUGCGUAGAUAUCGUGAGGAAGACCAGUGGCGAAGGCGGAUCUCUGGACAGCUCCUGACGCUGAGGCGCGAAGGCUAGGGGAGCAAACGGG